rnacentral:rRNA from 1 species
UCUUUUCCUUUUGUGCCCGCCGCCGCGGUAAUACGGAAGGUCCGGGCGUUAUCCGGAUUUAUUGGGUUUAAAGGGAGCGUAGGCCGGAGAUUAAGCGUGUUGUGAAAUGUAGAUGCUCAACAUCUGCACUGCAGCGCGAACUGGUUUCCUUGAGUACGCACAAAGUGGGCGGAAUUCGUGGUGUAGCGGUGAAAUGCUUAGAUAUCACGAAGAACUCCGAUUGCGAAGGCAGCUCACUGGAGCGCAACUGACGCUGAAGCUCGAAAGUGCGGGUAUCGAACAGG